rnacentral:misc_RNA from 1 species
UUGUGGAGGAGGACGCCGAAGGUGGGGCUAAUGACUGGGGUGAAGUCGUAACAAGGUAGCCGUACCGGAAGGUGCGGCUGGAUCACCUCCUAACAGGGAGACAACAAAAUGUUAAAUAUUAAUUUUGUCACCUUAGGUCGAUCGGUACCUUACAUUCUUAAUUUAUUGAGAAUUUCAUUUCCUAAGUUUUUCUAGGUCACACCCAUUAUUUUUCCUGGGCCAUUAGCUCAGGUGGUUAGAGCGCACCCCUGAUAAGGGUGAGGUCCCUGGUUCAAGUCCAGGAUGGCCCAUCAUAUCUCUAUGUUGGGGGUAUAGCUCAGUUGGUAGAGCGCCUGCUUUGCAAGCAGGAUGUCAGCGGUUCGAGUCCGCUUACCUCCACUGAUUACCACCUCUUUCAUAAUCUGUGAAAGGAAAUGUUUUGAGUUGUGAUCAAAUUCUGAACGAAUCUAGCUUCCUAAUGAAACCAUUAAGAUGCUAGACUCAUUGAAUUAUAUUCAUUGUUUUCAGAGAACCUCGACAACUGCAUAGAUUAUUUUUAAAGACAAUAAGCAUCUUUAAAGAUGCAGAUUUAUUAUUUGUGCGAAUGCAUUAAUAACAAUUCUAUUAAGCUGAUGCUUCAAUUUUGAAGUUAUUGGUCAAGCUACAA